GACGAACGCUGGCGGCGUGCUUAACACAUGCAAGUCGAACGAAGAGCGAUGGAAGCUUGCUUCUAUCAAUCUUAGUGGCGAACGGGUGAGUAACGCGUAAUCAACCUUCCCUUCAGAGGGGGACAACAGUUGGAAACGACUGCUAAUACCGCAUACGAUCUAAUCUCGGCAUCGAGGAUAGAUUAAAGGUGGCCUCUACAUGUAAGCUAUCACUGAAGGAGGGGAUUGCGUCUGAUUAGCUAGUUGGAGGGGUAACGGCCCACCAAGGCGAUGAUCAGUAGCCGGUCUGAGAGGAUGAACGGCCACAUUGGGACUGAGACACGGCCCAGACUCCUACGGGAGGCAGCAGUGGGGAAUCUUACGCAAUGGACGAAAGUCUGACGGAGCAACGCCGCGUGAGCGAUGACGGCCUUCGGGUUGUAAAGCUCUGUUAAUCGGGACGAAAGGCCUUCUUGCGAAUAGUGAGAAGGAUUGACGGUACCGGAAUAGAAAGCCACGGCUAACUACGUG
rnacentral:rRNA from 1 species